rnacentral:pre_miRNA from 1 species
GAUAUACUCCCUCCGUCCGAAAAUACUUGUCCUCGAAAUGGUUGUAUCUAGAUUUAUUUUAGUUAUAGAUACAUCUAUUUUAUCCAUUUCUAAGACAAGUAUUUCCGGACGGAGGGAGUAAUUC